UCCCUGGUAGUCCAGUGGCAAAGGGUCCUUGCUUCCAAUGCAGGAGGCCCUGGUUCAAUUCCUAGUCAGGGAA
rnacentral:tRNA from 1 species